UACGUAGGGCGCAAGCGUUGUCCGGAAUUAUUGGGCGUAAAGAGCUCGUAGGCGGUUUGUCGCGUCUGCUGUGAAAUCCCGAGGCUCAACCUCGGGCUUGCAGUGGGUACGGGCAGACUAGAGUGCGGUAGGGGAGACUGGAAUUCCUGGUGUAGCGGUGGAAUGCGCAGAUAUCAGGAGGAACACCGAUGGCGAAGGCAGGUCUCUGGGCCGCAACUGACGCUGGAGGAGCGAAAGCCGUGGGGAGCGAACAGG
rnacentral:rRNA from 1 species